rnacentral:lncRNA from 1 species
AUAUCAACAAUGAAAUCUAAAACCUCGCAUAUACAUUAGCAAUUAGAAACUCAAAACCCUAAGCAAACCCUCCUUUCUUGACCCCCACUUAAUAGGGGAGUGAAAACCAAGGUAAUUAAGAAAGAAAUAAAGAACUAGAAUUGAAAAGAGCAACGAAACUUACUUCAAUAAGUGAUCCCAAUUUCUAGCACAACAAGUCGGUCGAAGACCACUCACUCUUAUAAGCUAAGAAGCUUA